rnacentral:rRNA from 1 species
GACGAACGCUGGCGGCGUGCCUAAUACAUGCAAGUAGAGCGCUGAAGAGAGGAGCUUACUCUUCUUGGAUGAGUUGCGAACGGGUGAGUAACGCGUAGGUAACCUGCCUUGUAGCGGGGGAUAACUAUUGGAAACGAUAGCUAAUACCGCAUAACAAUGGAUGACACAUGUCAUUUAUUUGAAAGGGGCAAUUGCUCCACUACAAGAUGGACCUGCGUUGUAUUAGCUAGUAGGUGAGGUAAUGGCUCACCUAGGCGACGAUACAUAGACGACCUGAGAGGGUGAUCGGCCACACUGGGACUGAGACACGGCCCAGACUCCUACGGGAGGCAGCAGUAGGGAAUCUUCGGCAAUGGGGGCAACCCUGACCGAGCAACGCCGCGUGAGUGAAGAAGGUUUUCGGAUCGUAAAGCUCUGUUGUAAGUCAAGAACGGGUGUGAGAGUGGAAAGUUCACACUGUGACGGUAGCUUACCAGAAAGGGACGGCUAACUACGUG